UACGUAGGGUGCAAGCGUUGUCCGGAAUUAUUGGGCGUAAAGAGCUCGUAGGCGGCUUGUCGCGUCGGCUGUGAAAACCUGGGGCUCAACCCCGGGCCUGCAGCCGAUACGGGCAAGCUAGAGUUCGGUAGGGGAGACUGGAAUUCCUGGUGUAGCGGUGAAAUGCGCAGAUAUCAGGAGGAACACCGGUGGCGAAGGCGGGUCUCUGGGCCUUACCUGACGCUCAGGUGCGAAAGCUAGGGGAGCGAACAGG
rnacentral:rRNA from 1 species